rnacentral:rRNA from 1 species
CGUAACCAAUAACUCCCCUAGUAGCGGCGAGCGAAGCGGGAAGCAUUCCAAUAAAUAAUGGAAAACCUUCCGUGUCCGAGUUGUAAUCUCUAGAAGUGUUUUCCGGCAAAACCGCAAACAAGUCUGUUGGAAUACAGCGGCAUAGUGGUGAAACCCGGGUAUAUGUUGCGGAAGCCCAGAUGUGAUACCCUUUCAGGGAGUCGAGUUGUUUGGGAAAGCAGUUCAAAUUGGGUGGUAAAUUCCAGAUAGUAAAUAUGGGCGAGAGAUCGAUAGGGAACAUGUACCGAGGGAAAGAUGAAAAGCACUUUGGAAAGAGAGUUAACAGUACGUGAAAUUGAAGAAGGGAAACGCCUGAAGUCAGAGAUGCUUAUCGGAUCGAAAUCGGGAUACAGAACGACAUCAGUUGUCCGGGGUGGAUAAUACCGAAUGUAGCACUCUCGGCUCCCACUACCAUUCCGUGGGAUCCAUCCGGGGGGAACGAGGAGGGCAGCGUUCGGGCGUGUAAGACUAGCACACGC